UAAAGUAGUAUAACGUAGCACAGGUGAA
rnacentral:piRNA from 1 species